rnacentral:rRNA from 1 species
CCUACGGGAGGCAGCAGUGGGGAAUAUUGCACAAUGGGGGAAACCCUGAUGCAGCGACGCCGCGUGAAUGAUGACGGAUUUCGGUAUGUAAACUUCUAUCAGCAGGGAAGAAAAUGACGGUACCUGACUAAGAAGCCACGGCUAACUACGUGCCAGCAGCCGCGGUAAUACGUAGGGGGCAAGCGUUAUCCGGAUUUACUGGGCGUAAAGGGAGCGUAGGCGGUUUAGCAAGUCAGAAGUGAAAGCCCGGGGCUCAACUCCGGGACUGCAUUUGAAACUGGUGAACUAGAGUGCAGGAGAGGUGAGUGGAAUUCCUAGUGUAGCGGUGAAAUGCGUAGAGAUUAGGAGGAACACCAGUGGCGAAGGCGAUUCUCUGGACUGUAAAUGACGCUGAGGCUCGAAAGCGUGGGGAGCAAACAGGAUUAGAUACCCGAGUAGUC